GAUGAACGCUAGCGGCAGGCCUAAUACAUGCAAGUCGAACGCAGGUAGCAAUACCUGAGUGGCGCACGGGUGCGUAACGCGUAUGCAACCUACCUUGAACUGGGGGAUAGCCUUCCGAAAGGGAGAUUAAUACCGCAUAAGACAACUUGAGGGCAUCUGAGGGUUGUUAAAGAUUUAUCGGUUCAAGAUGGGCAUGCGUGCCAUUAGCUAGUUGGCGGGGUAAGGGCCCACCAAGGCGACGAUGGCUAGGGGGUCUGAGAGGAUGGUCCCCCACACUGGCACUGAGAUACGGGCCAGACUCCUACGGGAGGCAGCAGUAGGGAAUAUUGGGCAAUGGGCGGAAGCCUGACCCAGCCAUGCCGCGUGCAGGAUGAAGGCCUUCUGGGUUGUAAACUGCUUUUAUCAGGGAAGAAAACACCCAUGCGUGGGGAACUGACGGUACCUGAGGAAUAAGCACCGGCUAACUCCGUGCCAGCAGCCGCGGUAAGAC
rnacentral:rRNA from 1 species